GCAGUCGAACGGCAGCACGGGUGCUUGCACCUGGUGGCGAGUGGCCUACGGGUGAGUAAUAUAUCGGAACGUACCUUAUCGUGGGGGAUAACGCAGCGAAAGCUGCGCUAAUACCGCAUACGCCCUGAGGGGGAAAGCGGGGGACCGUAAGGCCUCGCGCGAUUAGAGCGGCCGAUAUCUGAUUAGCUUGUUGGUGGGGUAAAAGCCCACCAAGGCGACGAUCAGUAGCUGGUCUGAGAGGACGACCAGCCACACUGGAACUGAGACACGGUCCAGACUCCUACGGGAGGCAGCAGUGGGGAGUUUUGGACAAUGGACGCAAGUCUGAUCCAGCCAUUCCGCGUGCAGGAUGAAGGCCCUCGGGUUGUAAACUGCUUUUGUACGGAACGAAAAGGUUUGUCUUAAUACGAUGAGCUCAUGACGGUACCGUAAGAAUAAGCACCGGCUAACUACGUGCCAGCAGCCGCGGUAAUACGUAGGGUGCAAGCGUUAAUCGGAAUUACUGGGCGUAAAGCGUGCGCAGGCGGUUAUGUAAGACAGAGGUGAAAUCCCCGGGCUCAACCUGGGAACUGCCUUUGUGACUGCAUAGCUAGAGUACGGUAGAGGGGGAUGGAAUUCCGCGUGUAGCAGUGAAAUGCGUAGAUAUGCGGAGGAACACCGAUGGCGAAGGCAAUCCCCUGGACCUGUACUGACGCUCAUGCACGAAAGCGUGGGGAGCAAACAGGAUUAGAUACCCUGGUAGUCCACGCCCUAAACGAUGUCAACUGGUUGUUGGGUCUUCACUGACUCAGUAACGAAGCUAACGCGUGAAGUUGACCGCCUGGGGAGUACGGCCGCAAGGUUGAAACUCAAAAGAAUUGACGGGGACC
rnacentral:rRNA from 1 species